CACUACAGGGUGACAGGCUGUUUGGGAAACAAUUUCUCUCCAGAGUCAGCAGGACUGGCCUGGGAGAGGAGGGCCAGCCAUGGUCUCCGCACACAAAGAAGUGACAGUCCUGAGCAGAGCCACUAGAAUGAGCAAGUGGAGAGCAAGUUAGAGUGAAGAGUGGAGGUGAGAGGAAGUGGGCUGCCUGCCAUCCUGAGAAAGAAAAGGGGAGCUGGCAGCCUAACCCAGCUCCCUCCAGAGAGCUCUCUGAUUAGAGCAAAAAAGCAAAACCUCACCAUCUCCUGCAAGCACUGGGAAAGCUCCCUUCAGAGUCAGGGCUGAAAAUUCACAGGACGCUUGCCGAGUGGGACUCCAGGUUUGAGAAAGUCUGAUUCCUGGGAGCACCGUGGGCAACUCAGUGCCUCCUCCUGGGCUCUGAUGUUCUCACCUGUAUCAGUGCAGUGGGAUAAAGACUCAGGUUCUCCAACCCCCAGCACAGUGCCUGUGGUCCAGGUGCCAGGUGUCUGACCUGAGAGGAUGCUCCUCCAUCAUCCUUCCUGGUUCCUUUCAGUUGAGUCCAGUUUGCUCACUUCCCAGACUGCUGAGCUGACAGCCUUUUCUCGAGUAGAAUCACUCUCACCAGACAGAAGGACCAAAGCACAGCCCUGAGGAGAGAGGAACUUGUCUAAAUCUACAAGGCCAAGUAGAGGCAGCUGUCAUGCGUGGGACCAUGGUUUCCCGAUUCUCAGGGUGGAAAGCCAAUUGCCAAACUGUAAGCAGUUCUCUGGAGAGGACCACAUGGUGAUGAACAAAGCUUUGUGACAAUGCCAGCUGGAUUAACUAGGAAGCAGACCUCCAGGCCCCAACAGACCUUCAGAUGAGACUGCAAUCCUGGGUGGUAACGUGCCCACAGCCUCAAGAAGGACUGUAAGGAAGGAACGCCGGCCUGCACUGCUCCUGGACUUCCUGCUCCCAGCAGUAUGAAGUCAUAAAUCUUUGUGGUUUAUAGGUGCUAUGCUAAAUUUUGAGGUAAUGUGUCCCAUAGUAAUAGUUAAUUGCCAUUUUGGGUAUUAUGCUCUUGUAGAAGGUUACUUUUCUGUGUUCACUGCUGUCUCUCUAGUGCCUGGAAAUCUGCCUGGAUUCUGGUAGGUGCUCAGUAAGUCUGUGGAGAUUUACUGUAAUGGUUUGAAUGUAGAGUCCCAGUGUUUCAUCGUAUGUGGGAAAUCCUCGGGACAGAAAGGACUAUCCUUUUUUCUCUUCUUAUCUAACUGGUUGGGAAUUUCUUAAGUGGUAUACUCUACAGCUAACACCAUAACCCCAUGAGACUCAGCAGAGGGUAGGGACAAAGCAAACACAGAGACCAAAGAAGCCCGCAGACAAUGAGAAGACUGAACUAACUGGGUUGGGGACAAAACAAAAGAAAGCCAAAUGCCUAAGUGUCCUGGAUUGUAGCUUUUCAUGGCCACUGAUUUCAGUCCUGCCUACCCAACAGAACCAUGUUGUACGGGGCAGAGCUGGUUAUUGCAGUUGUGUGUAUACUUCAAAUCUCCCCCUCUGUUUGGCUUUGAACAGUUAGCCCUGGGAUUCUGUCAACAACAUCCCUUCUAAACCAGCUCUGCCAAUAGUGGGCGCUAGAAAAGACAUAAAAGAUGUGAAAAAGAGUCCUUGUUUCAUUCUAUUUUCUUUCUGCUCCUGUCACUGUUAGGCUGGCAGUGGCUUUUCACCUUAGGGAUCCGAUAGUAGCAGCUGGUUCUAGUUCUUGGUUUUGUUACAAUCCCAGAAUCAGCUGUAUCUGAAAUACAAAAGCUAUCCCGUGUGUGUCUCCUCCUCUAGAGCCUGGACCUCUACAGCCCUGUGCAGUUCCUCCUCUGAUCGCAAAACUAGCAAGAGCAGGUGGCACUUCCCUAGAAGAUUGGACCUCAAGUCUGCAGGGCCCUCUUCCCAGCUUAAGUUUACUGGUAGGGUAAACCAAGGCAUGACCAAGACCACCAGAGCAGGCAAGAAUGAAGCAACAAGUGAGGUUUUAUUUUCAGCCUGGGUGCAGGCUAGUCAAGGGCAACGAAGCCAUUGACUCUGGGGGCUUGGGUGAGGGGAAACUUUAUAGGGGAGUUUGGGUAGGGAAGGGGUAGUGCCAGGAGGAGUGGAAAACUCUGUCCUGAAGUGGAGGAAGUCUGGUGGUCUCCAGGGGUAUCUGGACCCACAGAUGUUGCUGCAUGGGGCAGGCUGCUUAUCUUGAACCCAGGCCUUAGCUUCCUGUUAUCCUUUGCCCCUUGCAGAAUGUGUAACUGCAUUGCCUGGGAAGUUUUUCUCUUCUGCCUGGGUGGGGGUCUGACAUUUAUAAGCCCUACUUUCUUUUUGUUUUGCUCUAGUGUUAGAGGUAGUAACUUUUUCCUGCAUCCUUCAAUAAUAGGUUAAAAAUUACUUUAAACUUGGUGUGAUG
ensembl:lncRNA